GAUGAACGCUGGCGGCGUGCCUAAUACAUGCAAGUCGAGCGAACGGACGAGAAGCUUGCUUCUCUGAUGUUAGCGGCGGACGGGUGAGUAACACGUGGAUAACCUACCUAUAAGACUGGGAUAACUUCGGGAAACCGGAGCUAAUACCGGAUAAUAUUUUGAACCGCAUGGUUCAAAAGUGAAAGACGGUCUUGCUGUCACUUAUAGAUGGAUCCGCGCUGCAUUAGCUAGUUGGUAAGGUAACAGCUUACCAAGGCAACGAUGCAUAGCCGACCUGAGAGGGGGGAUCGCCCCACCGGAACUGGAGACAGGGCCCAACCCCCUAGGGGGGCCAGCGGUGGGAAAUUUGCGCAAGGGGGCGAAGCCCGGACGGGGCAACGCGGGGUGGGGGAUGAGGGUCUCGGGACGGAAAACUCUGUUAUUAGGGAAGAACAUAUGUGUAAGUAACUGUGCACAUCUUGACGGUACCUAAUCAGAAAGCCACGGCUAACUACGUG
rnacentral:rRNA from 1 species